UGGGCAGAGGAGGCAGGGACA
rnacentral:miRNA from 1 species